CGGAAAGGCUCCUUCGGGAGUACUCGAGCGGCGAACGGGUGAGUAACACGUGAGUAAUCUGCCCUGGACUCUGGGAUAGCCACCGGAAACGGUGAUUAAUACCGGAUAUGACCACUCUAGGCAUCUAGCGGUGGUGGAAAGUUUUUCGGUCCAGGAUGUGCUCGCGGCCUAUCAGCUUGUUGGUGAGGUAAUGGCUCACCAAGGCUUUGACGGGUAGCCGGCCUGAGAGGGUGACCGCUCACACUGGGACUGAGACACGGCCCAGACUC
rnacentral:rRNA from 1 species